GGGCUCGCUUGGCUUGAUGUAGGAGACGAACCAGCACCGGUUGAUAUUGUUGAUGCAAACGCCCUGGAGGCCUGUGCCAAGCGAUGGAGGUGACUCAGCUGUGACUCCAGCAAGUAGAACUGAUAAGCAGGGUCAGUCCGACCCACCAGGAAUCAAAACACCAUCUCAUCACCCGGUGACUAAGGACAGUAGCUGCCGGCUGGCUGGGCGCCUCCAGGCCUGCACGUAGCUGCAUUCCGUCCCCAGCCUCACCCCGCCCCUUCCCCUGCAGUCCUGUCCCUGCACCUGCUGGGAGAUGGGAUCUGAACGCCUGUAAGCGCCCUGCCUUCUUGGUUGGCAGGCCUUCUCAGUAAACGCCUUCUAGGAUGCAACCCGGCCUUCGUUACAGGACAGGGUGACGGCAGCCCGAGCCCCCCCCCCCCCGGGGCUUCCCGGUCACAUCAGGUUUCGGAAGGGAAAGUGUCCCUCAAGGUUAGACUUUCCUAAGGAGCGUUGCCGCGUGACUCGUGUGUGGAUGCCACAGACAGCAGUGGCCCAAACGCGGCAGGCGCAGUGGCGUUAGGAUGUAGCUGGAAAGGGACAAAGUGACUACAUGCGGGGCCUUGCUGUGCGGGAGGCAGGAUGUGCGCCUUCGCACAUCCCAGCUGAAUGUCCCCCCGUGCAACACACAGGCCCGGAUUUCAGCCAUGACUUCCUCACCCAUCGAAUGAUGCAGAAUGCUGCCUUCUAGCCCACAAGAGAGUUGUAUGAAGCAACUGGGCUAAGGAAUGGGAAGAGGGCUCAGGGACAUGGAAAACGCGCCACCCAUAGGCGACGACUCAGCUUUUAUGGGGGCGUGAUUCCCACGCCAGCCCCCUCCGGCCCCCAACUCCCAGCAGACAGAGCUGGGGGCACGGGGCUCCUCCCAUUGCUGGUCCUCGGAGGCCAGGAGGCAGGCUCACCUUUGUCUCUUGGACGCUCGCCCCUUGGCCAGUGGGAACAAGGAAGUCUGGAAGACAAAACAGCUUCAGAAAGUCCCGCUCGGCCUCGGCCUCGGCCUCGGCCUAGGCCCCAGGGAAGAGCGCGGGGGAGGGACCUGGCUGGCCGCCAGGCCUUUGAUCCCUCGAUGAGGCUGCCCUUGCCCUGAGGCCCGGAGCCCGGUGCCCGGAGGGUGGAGAACGGGGGAGCGCCUGCCUUCGCCGCAUGCAUGUGAGAGGAGACCUCCCGUAUACUUGGAUCUUGUUCUUAAAAUUUUAGUCAAAUAAUUUCUACCUUUUGGACUGGGUUGUGGAAUUCAUUCACAUAAAGUUUUAUGAUGUAGUUAGAUUUGAUCUGGCAUUUUACUUUUUUAAAAAAAUAUAUGGAGCGCUUCACG